UACGGGGGGGGCAAGCGUUGUUCGGAUUUAUUGGGCGUAAAGAGCGUGUAGGCGGUCAGGUAGGUCCGUUGUGAAAACUCGAGGCUCAACCUCGAGACGCCGAUGGAAACCAUCUGACUAGAGUCCGGAAGAGGAGAGUGGAAUUCCUGGUGUAGCGGUGAAAUGCGCAGAUAUCAGGAAGAACACCCGUGGCUAAGGCGGCUCUCUAGUACGGUACUGACGCUGAGACGCGAAAGCGUGGGGAGCGAACAGG
rnacentral:rRNA from 1 species